rnacentral:rRNA from 1 species
AGUUAAUUCUUGUUGUAAUGAAGGAUUUCUUGAAAUACCUAACACUAAUGAACCAAAAACAUUACCUAUUCCUACACCGGCACCAGCUAAACCUAUUGUCGCCAGUCC